rnacentral:rRNA from 1 species
UACAGAGGAGCCAAGCGUUGUCCGGAUUGACUGGGCGUAAAGCGCACGCAGGCGGACGCGCGCGUGGGGUGUGAAAUCUGGCCGCUUAACGGCCAGGCGCCAUCCCAUACGGCGCGACUGGAGUGAUGCAGAGGUCGGUGGAAUUGCCGGUGUAGUGGUGAAAUGCGUAGAGAUUGGCAGGAACACCCAGGGGGAAACCAGCCGACUGGGCAUCUACUGACGCUGAGGUGCGAGAGCGUGGGGAGCGAACCGG